rnacentral:rRNA from 1 species
AACGAACGCUGGCGGCAUGCCUAACACAUGCAAGUCGAACGAGACCUUCGGGUCUAGUGGCGCACGGGUGCGUAACGCGUGGGAACCUGCCCUUAGGUUCGGCAUAACUCCCCGAAAGGGGUGCUAAUACCGGAUAAUGUCUUCGGACCAAAGAUUUAUCGCCUUUGGAUGGGCCCGAGUUGGAUUAGCUCGUUGGUAGGGUAAAAGCCUACCAAGGCGACGAUCCAUAGCUGGUCUGAGAGGAUGAUCAGCCACACUGGGACUGAGACACGGCCCAGACUCCUACGGGAGGCAGCAGUGGGGAAUAUUGGACAAUGGGCGAAAGCCUGAUCCAGCAAUGCCGCGUGAGUGAUGAAGGCCUUAGGGUUGUAAAGCUCUUUUACCCGGGAUGAUAAUGACAGUACCGGGAGAAUAAGCUCCGGCUAACUCCGUG